UCCUCAGCCGGCUCCAGCCCUUCUACAGGAGUGUCCCCAGAACCAUGGCCGAGUACUCCUAUGUAAAGUCCACCAAACUUGUGCUUAAGGGAAUCAAGGCCAAGAGCAAGAAGAAAAAGAACAAAGAAAAGAAGAGAAAAAGGGAAGAUGAUGAAGAAACCCAACUUGAUAUUGUUGGAAUCUGGUGGACAGGAACACACUUUGGUGAAAUUUCAGGAACCAUAGCAAUUGAAAUGGAUAAAGAAACCUACAUACAUGCACUUGACAAUGGACUUUUUACACUGGGAGCGCCACAUAAAGAAGUUGAUGAGGGCACUAGUCCUCCAGAGCAGUUUACAGCUGUCCAAUUGUCUGGUUCCAGAAUUUCCCUAAAAUCUGGCUACAGAAAAUACCUCGGUAUAAAUUCAGAUGGACUUCUUGUUGGGCGUUCAGAUGCGAUUGGACCAAGAGAACAAUGGGAACCAGUCUUUCAUGAUGGGAAAAUGGCUUUAUUGGCCUCAAAUAGCUGCUUUAUCAGAUGCAAUGAAGCAGGCGAUAUAGAAGCAAAACGUAAAACAGCAGGAGAAGAAGAAAUGAUAAAGAUUAGAUCCUGUGCUGAAAGAGAAACUAAGAAAACAGAUGAUAUUCCAGAAGAAGACAAAGGAAAUGUUAGACAGUGUGAAACCAAUUAUGUAAAGAAUUUUAGAGCUUCCAAGACCACAAAUCUAAAAUAAGUAAAGAAGACAGUAAAAUUUUUAAGAAGGCCUGAAAAGAUGGAUUUUUGCAUGAAACACUUCUGGACAGGAGAGCCAAAUUAAAAGCUGAUAGAUACUGCAAAUGA